AAUUCAUAAUGUGCUGCAGUUUAAUGUGUUGUACUAUUGACUUCAAUUGCUUGCUGUCUCUCGUAGUGAUGGAGUGUCUUACACUUUGUGGACAAGGUGGGAAAUAAAUGGUAGUCCUGAAAAGAGUUUAUACAGGCAGUGAAGUUAGUACAAUUUUGAUGUCAGCAUGGUUGUGUUAGGUGUUAAAAUGAUAUAUGAUCCUUUAUUACCAGGACAUAAGAAGAGACUAACACAAACGAUGAAAUCUCUUCUUGCUAAAUCAGUUUCUGCUCAGUCUACUUACGUUGACUUGACGUUAUCUUUUAAUAAUGAUUUACCAGGACCUCCUGUUAGAUAU